rnacentral:miRNA from 1 species
GAGAAUUGCUUGAGCCUGGGAGGUGGAGGUUGCAGUGAGCUGAGAUCACGCCACUGCACUCCAGCCUGGGC